UAGGGAAUCUUCGGCAAUGGACGAAAGUCUGACCGAGCAACGCCGCGUGAGUGAAGAAGGUUUUCGGAUCGUAAAACUCUGUUGUUAGAGAAGAACAAGUGGGAGAGUAACUGUUCCCACCUUGACGGUAUCUAACCAGAAAGCCACGGCUAACUACGUGCCAGCAGCCGCGGUAAUACGUAGGUGGCAAGCGUUGUCCGGAUUUAUUGGGCGUAAAGCGAGCGCAGGCGGUUCUUUAAGUCUGAUGUGAAAGCCCCCGGCUCAACCGGGGAGGGUCAUUGGAAACUGGGGAACUUGAGUGCAGAAGAGGAGAGUGGAAUUCCAUGUGUAGCGGUGAAAUGCGUAGAUAUAUGGAGGAACACCAGUGGCGAAGGCGACUCUCUGGUCUGUAACUGACGCUGAGGCUCGAAAGCGUGGGGAGCAAACAGG
rnacentral:rRNA from 2 species